rnacentral:rRNA from 1 species
GAUGAACGCUAGCGAUAGGCUUAACACAUGCAAGUCGAGGGGCAGCAUAAGAGUAGCAAUACUUUGGUGGCGACCGGCGCACGGGUGAGUAACACGUAUGCAACCUGCCCAUAACGGGGGGAUAACCCGUCAAAAGGCGGCCUAAUACCGCAUGACGACGAUGAUCCGCAUGGUGGUUCGUCUAAAGAUUUAUCGGUUAUGGAUGGGAAUGCGUUCCAUUAGAUUGUUGGUAGGGUAACGGCCUACCAAGUCUUCGAUGGAUAGGGGUUCUGAGAGGAAGGUCCCCCACACUGGUACUGAGACACGGACCAGACUCCUACGGGAGGCAGCAGUGAGGAAUAUUGGUCAAUGGGCGAGAGCCUGAACCAGCCAAAUCGCGUGAAGGAUGAAGGUAUUAUGUAUUGUAAACUUCUUUUGUCAGGGAAUAAAGUGCGGCACGUGUGCUGUUUUGUAUGUACCUGAAGAAUAAGGAUCGGCUAACUCCGUGCCAGCAGCCGCAGUAACAC